CCGACAGCACUGCCGGAUUACUCCGUUUGAAGUGCGUGUUAGCCGGAAUUACCUUUAGGGUGAUGGUUAGCGCACUUGAGCCGGAUUAAUUCGGGCGGUACUGCCACAUGCAUGGUCGAGGACUCGAGACCAUCUGCGUUCAGUACUGCAUAACUUGGGGAGCCGUGUGCAGUAUGAAGAUAGUCACGGAUCGUCCCAGGCCUCGUUGUCGUUCCAGUGUCCAGCUUCCACGCACGAGACAACCUUUCAGCCAGAUCUGCCACACCAGUACUUCAGUACUGGAGGAUAUGGUCCCUCUUCUGCGUUCGGCCAUACUGGCCAUUUGGGCCAGCAAGGAUCCCAGUCGUUCCACAGCAGGGGACGGGAAUGUUUGGAGGGCUACCACCAGUUGGGGGACCGUACUUAGGGAUGGGACCACCGACACACACACCACCCUACACAGGAUUCUAUCCAGAUGCGGGCGUCGAACCUUCCUCCUCCUUACGACCUGGUACAAAACAAUCUCUCAAUACACUCACUAUAUUUUUAACAAAACAUAUAUUGGUUUACUUUUAUAUGUUACGCAGGGUUCGUCUCGGACACGUUCGUUCUAGAUAAUGCUGGCAUGA